AUGCGAGGGGGGAGGAGGGGGAGACGCUGCGCCGGGGGGGCUGCGGCGGCCCCGGGCACAGCGCCCAUGGGUGGGCACGGGGGGACGGGGCACCUUCCCGCGCCGGUGCCUGGUGGAAAGGGAACAUCCGAGGCAAUAAUCACAUUAUUUGGAAAUCACGUUAUUUGGACUUUAUCUCGGCUGCCAUUACUCUGCCACGUGCGUUAUUCCGUCAUCUCGUGGCAGGCGAUGACGGAGGCAAGAUGCUCGACGCCACCCGGCACAACGGCAUCGCCAGCUCUCCGAGGCGCUGAUGAAAUCGGCAACUCGAUUGAUGUGAAUCAAUUUUCUUUUUUUUUGGCAGAAAAUCACGGAAUUCCCACCAGCUUCAGCACCCGGUGUUGCGCGUGGGACUUGUAUCCCUCCCAUAGCCCGCCAGCUUUGCUGUGUUUUUCCACCCCGUGUUCAAAUAUCGCCGAAAAUUACCCCAAACAGGGAGGUCAAUGCCUCCGAACGCACAACCGGCUGCGGGGGAGGAAGGGAGUAACACGUUCCCUGGGUUUGUUUGGGACAAGCAGUGAUGGGUUUGGGCUGCUGCCUGGGAAGGCUGAGGGCAGGAGGGACAGCCCCAGCCCCUCGGGGCAGAGCAUGGGGUCCCUUGUGGGGUUUUUCCGGCCAGGGUUGGCAGCGGGUGUGCAGGGAGAGGCCAGGGUGAGCGGGUCCUGCUUGAGGGGCCCUUGGGGUGGGCUAACGGAGCCUUUGCCCCGCUGCACGGGGGGGUGGCAGUCCACGGUGGCCUUUGAGGAGGUGCAGAAGGAGACACAGCCCCUCUCAGCCCUUUCUCUGACGGUCUCAGGGGAAGGAGCAGGGGUGGCAGCAAGGCUCGGGAGCUGCUUUUUGCCAAGGGGUCAGCUCGGUGGAGGCAGGGAUCCCUCCUGCGCUGCCAAAACCAGCAGCAGGGCUGGAGCCCAGCAGGUGCUUGGAUGUCACCUGCCUGCCCCCACCUCUGCAGCCCCCCCACCCCCCCCGGCUGCCUUGUCACCCCCAGCCCUCCUCGCCUGCUGGUAA
rnacentral:lncRNA from 1 species